GGUUCUAUAGUGUAGGGGUUAUCACUCGAGAUUUUGACGCUUCAAGCCUGAUUUCUCGAAACCCAGGUUCGAGCCCUGGUAGGACCU